rnacentral:rRNA from 1 species
GAACGGUAAUACCGCAUAAUGUAUUUUGACCGCAUGAUCGAAAUACCAAAGAUUUAUCGCUGAAGGAUGGACUCGCGUCUGAUUAGGUAGUUGGUGGGGUAACGGCCUACCAAGCCGACGAUCAGUAGCCGGACUGAGAGGUUGAUCGGCCACAUUGGGACUGAGACACGGCCCAGACUCCUACGGGAGGCAGCAGUGGGGAAUAUUGCACAAUGGGCGCAAGCCUGAUGCAGCAACGCCGCGUGAAGGAAGACGGUUUUCGGAUUGUAAACUUCUGUUCUUAGUGAAGAAUAAUGACGGUAGCUAAGGAGCAAGCCACGGCUAACUACGUGCCAGCAGCCGCGGUAAUACGUAGGUGGCAAGCGUUGUCCGGAAUUACUGGGUGUAAAGGGAGCGCAGGCGGGUGAUCAAGUCAGCUGUGAAAACUACGGGCUUAACCCGUAGACUGCAGUUGAAACUGUUCAUCUUGAGUGAAGUAGAGGUUGGCGGAAUUCCGAGUGUAGCGGUGAAAUGCGCAGAUAUUCGGAGGAACACCGGUGGCGAAGGCGGCCAACUGGGCUUUAACUGACGCUGAGGCUCGAAAGUGUGGGGAGCAAACAGGAU